GGCAAGAGCUUGCUCUUGUGCUGACGAGUGGCGGACGGGUGAGUAAUGCUUGGGAAUCUGGCUUAUGGAGGGGGAUAACUGCGGGAAACUGCAGCUAAUACCGCGUAGUAUCGGAAGAUGAAAGUGCGGGACCUUAGGGCCGCAUGCCAUAGGAUGAGCCCAAGUGGGAUUAGGUAGUUGGUGGGGUAAAGGCCUACCAAGCCGUCGAUCUCUAGCUGGUCUGAGAGGAUGGCCAGCCACACUGGAACUGAGACACGGUCCAGACUCCUACGGGAGGCAGCAGUGGGGAAUAUUGCGCAAUGGGGGCAACCCUGACGCAGCCAUGCCGCGUGAAUGAAGAAGGCCUUCGGGUUGUAAAGUUCUUUCGGUGACGAGGAAGGCGAUUGUUUUAAUAGAACAAUCGAUUGACGUUAAUCACAGAAGAAGCACCGGCUAACUCCGUGCCAGCAGCCGCGGUAAUACGGAGGGUGCGAGCGUUAAUCGGAAUAACUGGGCGUAAAGGGCACGCAGGCGGAUUUUUAAGUGAGGUGUGAAAGCCCCGGGCUUAACCUGGGAAUUGCAUUUCAGACUGGGAAUCUAGAGUACUUUAGGGAGGGGUAGAAUUCCACGUGUAGCGGUGAAAUGCGUAGAGAUGUGGAGGAAUACCGAAGGCGAAGGCAGCCCCUUGGGAAUGUACUGACGCUCAUGUGCGAAAGCGUGGGGAGCAAACAGGAUUAGAUACCCUGGUAGUCCACGCUGUAAACGCUGUCGAUUUGGGGGUUGGGCUUUAAGCUUGGCGCCCGUAGCUAACGUGAUAAAUCGACCGCCUGGGGAGUACGGCCGCAAGGUUAAAACUCAAAUGAAUUGACGGGGGCCCGCACAAGCGGUGGAGCAUGUGGUUUAAUUCGAUGC
rnacentral:rRNA from 1 species